CCUCUCCCUCCCACAUUCUCCAAUUUUUUUUAGAAGAAAACCCUAAAGCUGUGCAAACCCUCUCCCUCUUACGCUCUAUCCCCCUCUCCAGACUUCAUCGUCCUGCCGACGAAGCUCUGAUCUAUUCCCGUCCCUCUCCAGACUCCAUGCGGCAGUGGAACGCAUGUUGACGGAGAGGCGAGAGAAGAACGGAACAGAAAUCGCCGCCCUCUUCCAGCAGCUGCUGAGAACAACUUCGACGGAGAACGGCGACUUUGUCGGAGUGGGGGACGAAGUUACAAGGUGCGCUGCGACUUCGAUGGAAGAGAAGGUCUGGGUGAGGAAGCAAAAGCGUCGAGAGGGACUGCGACCUUGGGUGAACAGAACAGCCAAGCAUCUUUUAACUGAGUUCUAUUGAAUUAGCCAAAGAGUUUUUGAAGUCACAAGGAGCAAGAGUUCUACUGAUAUUUCAAAGCCUGAAGCAGUUGUGUUAUCAGGCCCUGAUGCAAAGUAAGAUAGUAGUUAUGUUGGAGUAGAUUUAGGCAACCAAUUUCUUUUAGGGAAAGAUUAUUUUAGAAGUAAGAGUGUACCAUUUGAGCUGUACAAAAGGCGCACAUCUGUAUUUGUUCGCAGAGAAACUUUUCUAGACAUUAUCUGUGAUGCUCUGGCUGAGUACAAGUAUAUGGGUCCCAACCAGAGAGAAGACUUGGCUCUAGCCUGCAGGUACCACCAUUGUUUUAUAUCUUUAUGUGGACAAUAUUUAUCUACAGUAACCUAAAUAGAAGCAUGGAAAAGAAUAAGUCUCACUAUCGUUGCAUCAUAUGCUUGGAUCUAAUGGAAUCUAUUAAGUUAUAUGAUUAGAUAUGGUUUGCCUUGGUUUCCAUUUUCAUGAUCAAGGAGAGAUGGAACAGAUAAAGGAGAGAUUUGUUAAAUUGCUAUUGGGGGAGGAUAUGUCUGGUGGAGGAAAGGGUGUUUCAUCAACUCUGGCACUGUCAAAUGCAUUCCCAAACCUUGCUGCUGCUGUUUUUGGUGAACAAAAGCGCCUAGAGCCGAUGCUGCCCAAGAGGAAAGCCAGAUGGAGAAAGGAAAUCGAUUGGCUUCUAUCAGUGACAGAUUAUGUUGUUGUGAUGGUUCCUACUCAACAAAAAUCAAAAGAUGGAUCCAGCAUGGAGAUUUAUUUGAAGUUGUAGAUCGAAGAGCCAAACUGGUUGCCACUGACUUAGAGGACUAGUCUGAUUCUAAAUCUCCAGUACUUCUCUGAUUUUCAAUUUGCCUUCUACGAUGAGGAUCAACUGAAUGAAAUUAAAGAAGAGUGAGCUACUUAUGUGUUAAAGAAUUUUGCAUAGUGUGGACUGCUAUGCUUUGGUGAUUUCAAGUAGUGGGGGUGUUUGGGGAUGUUGUCAAGCUGCUAUUUUUUCGUCGAUAAAAGAGGCUGAUGAUGAGUCAAUCUCAUUGCUGUUUUUUGUUGUUCAAGCUGCAUGUUUUGUCAUUCUUAAUUCAUGCUUUUAACUUAUGUAGCUUGCUUGUUUAAUUUCUUGAGAGAGUAUGUUCUCAACAAUUAGUAUUGGUUUAUUAUUGUUAUGUUAUUUGAGUAAUUCUCUUGGCUUUAA